rnacentral:rRNA from 1 species
GAUGAACGCUGGCGGCGUGCCUAAUACAUGCAAGUCGAGCGAACAGACGAGGAGCUUGCUCCUCUGACGUUAGCGGCGGACGGGUGAGUAACACGUGGAUAACCUACCUAUAAGACUGGGAUAACUUCGGGAAACCGGAGCUAAUACCGGAUAAUAUAUUGAACCGCAUGGUUCAAUAGUGAAAGACGGUUUUGCUGUCACUUAUAGAUGGAUCCGCGCCGCAUUAGCUAGUUGGUAAGGUAACGGCUUACCAAGGCAACGAUGCGUAGCCGACCUGAGAGGGUGGUCGGCCACCCUGGAACUGAGACACGGCCCAGACUCCUACGGGAGGCAGCAGUAGGGAAUCUUCCGCAAUGGGCGAAAGCCUGACGGAGCAACGUCGCGUGAGUGAUGAAGGUCUUCGGAUCGGAAAGCUCUGUUAUUAGGGAAGAACAAAUGUGUAAGUAACUAUGCACGUCUUGACGGUACCUAAUCAGAAAGCCACGGCUAACUACGUG